rnacentral:rRNA from 1 species
UACGUAGGCAGCGAGCGUUGUUCGGAGUUACUGGGCGUAAAGGGUGUGUAGGCGGUUGUUUAAGUUUGGUGUGAAAUCUCCCGGCUCAACUGGGAGGGUGCGCCGAAUACUGAAUGACUAGAGUGCGGGAGAGGAGAGUGGAAUUCCUGGUGUAGCGGUGAAAUGCGUAGAUAUCGAGGAGGAACACCGGUGGUGUAGACGGCUCUCUGGACCGUAACUGACGCUGAGACACGAAAGCGUGGGUAGCAAACAGG